rnacentral:rRNA from 1 species
AUACGUAGGGUGCGAGCGUUGUCCGGAAUUACUGGGCGUAAAGAGCUCGUAGGUGGUUUGUCGCGUCGUCUGUGAAAUUCCGGGGCUUAACUCCGGGCGUGCAGGCGAUACGGGCAUAACUUGAGUACUGUAGGGGAGACUGGAAUUCCUGGUGUAGCGGUGAAAUGCGCAGCUAUCAGGAGGAUCACCGGUGGCGAAGGCGGGUUUCUGGGCAGUAACUGACGCUGAGGAGCGAAAGCAUGGGUAGCGAACAGGAUUAGAUACCCUGGUAGUCCAUGCCGUAAACGGUGGGCGCUAGGUGUAGGGGUCUUCCACGACUUCUGUGCCGUAGCUAACGCAUUAAGCGCCCCGCCUGGGGAGUACGGCCGCAAGGCUAAAACUCAAAGGAAUUGACGGGG